CGCCGGUGGGCGGCCCUGGCCUCGGCGCUGCGGGUGCCGGUGAAGGGGUGCGGCUUGUACAGGACGCGCACCGGCGG
rnacentral:tRNA from 1 species